UCAAACUGGGGAUUAGAUACCCCACUAUUUUUAGUUGUAAAUUUAGUUUAAGCUUACCAGAGUACUACGAAUAAAAAAGUUUAAAACUCAAAGGGCUUGGCGGUGUUUUAGACCUCUCAGGGGAACCUGUCUCGUAAUCGACAGUCCGCGUUAAACCUAACCUUUUAUAGCAAUACAGCUUGUAUACCGUCGUCGUCAGGUAACUUCUUAAAAUAUAGUAGUUAGCCCGAGAAUCAAGUUAAUUAGGACGUCAGAUCAAGGUGCAGCCAAUAAAGAGGUGAGGAUGGGUUACAAUUACAUAUUUGUAAAUACGGAAAAUAUUUGAAAUAUAGUAUCAUAAAGGAGGACUUGAAAGUAAUUUUAGUUAUAUGGAUAAAAUGAAUAUGGCUCUGAAACGUGCACACACCGCCCGUCACCCUCCUGCAGUCAA
rnacentral:rRNA from 1 species